AUUGAACGCUGGCGGAAUGCUUUACACAUGCAAGUCGAACGGUAGAGGGGGCAACCCCUCGAGAGUGGCGAACGGGUGAGUAAUAUAUCGGAACGUGCCCAGUCGUGGGGGAUAACGUAGCGAAAGUUACGCUAAUACCGCAUACGAUCUAAGGAUGAAAGCGGGGGAUCGCAAGACCUCGCGCGAUUGGAGCGGCCGAUAUCAGAUUAGGUAGUUGGUGGGGUAAAGGCUCACCAAGCCAACGAUCUGUAGCUGGUCUGAGAGGACGACCAGCCACACUGGAACUGAGACACGGUCCAGACUCCUACGGGAGGCAGCAGUGGGGAAUUUUGGACAAUGGACGCAAGUCUGAUCCAGCCAUUCCGCGUGCAGGAUGAAGGCCCUCGGGUUGUAAAGCACUUUUGGCAGGAAAGAAAUCGCGCAAAUUAAUACUUUGCGUGGAUGACGGUACCUGCAGAAUAAGCACCGGCUAACUACGUGCCAGCAGCCG
rnacentral:rRNA from 1 species